CAGAUACUGAUCUUAAGCUGAUUUCAGAUUGUUGAUUUUUUCCUUUUUUCCUAUGCUGUGUUCCCUUGAUGAGUCAUCAUUCACUCAUCAACCCUCCUCUCUGUUGCACUAUGUUGUGCCAUAUGCCUUGCUAGAGUGAAACAGCAGAACUGCUGCUUCCCACCCAGAAAAGCACAUCAAUAUCUCAGCAUCAACAUGGAAGGCACUGUACAACAGAAAAUUCUCCAUUGCUUGAAGAAGACUUACGAAGAUCAAAAGGAGCACCAGAAGUAUUUCUGUGUAGGAUCAUUUGAUGCUAACCAUGCCUUUUUUUUUUUUUUUAAAUCUCACCAAAAAAAAGCAAGAGGUGAGGGAACAGAAAAGUAUAAAGACACAACCAAGACAGCAGUGUCAGGAGAGAUUGAGUCAGCUGGUCCUGAGCACGCCGAUGUAAACAAGAGAGGAGGCUGGGGAGCAGACAGAGCUUCUAAACAUCACAGACAGAGCAGCACAGUGUGAUCUGCAGAUCAAUGUGUGGACCUGGGCAGCAGCUUGUUAAAACGGAUGAACAGCUUGAACGGAUCCAUCUCAUUUUCUCCCUCAUCACCCUCUCUAUUAAAUGUAAGCUA